rnacentral:rRNA from 1 species
GCCAUCCUUGGGAUACCACCCUUGUAGUACUGGGACUCUAACCAUAGGCCAUGAAUCUGGUCUUGGGACACUGUCAGGUGGGCAGUUUGACUGGGGCGGUCGCCUCCCAAAAGGUAACGGAGGCGCUCAAAGGUUCUCUCAGUACGGUCGGAAAUCGUACGUAGAGUGUAAAGGCAAAAGAGAGCUUGAUUGCAAGACAUACAGGUCGAGCAAGGAUGAAAAUCGGACUUAGUGAUCCGGUGGUUCUGCGUGGAAGGGCCAUCGCUCAACGGAUAAAAGCUACCCUGGGGAUAACAGGCUUAUCUCCCCCAAGAGUCCACAUCGACGGGGAGGUUUGGCACCUCGAUGUCGGCUCAUCACAUCCUGGGGCUGUAGUAGGUC